ACCUCCAAACAACUAACCUAAAGAUCUCUUCUUCUCCACAAAAAUUUCUUCCUCCAACUUCUGAGUUCUUCUCCAAGCCUGUGGAAAAAAGUCUACAGAGUUCUAAGAUGAAGAUUGUAGCGAAAAGCUUCCCAAUGACCGGUUAGUCAUCACAUUCUAGGAGAUCUCUAUAAUUUUGUUUCGACGGUGCUUUUUAUUGUGAAAUCUUAUGUAUUCCUCUUUUAAUAU
rnacentral:lncRNA from 1 species